UACGUAGGUGGCAAGCGUUAUCCGGAAUUACUGGGCGUAAAGCGCACGCAGGCGGUCUUGUAAGUUUGACGUGAAAGCUCCCGGCUUAACUGGGAGAGGUCGUUGAAGACUGGCAGACUUGAGGCGAUGAGAGGGGUGUAGAAUUCCCGGUGUAGUGGUGGAAUGCGUAGAUAUCGGGGGGAAUACCAGUGGCGAAAGCGGCACCCUAGCGUUAGCCUGACGCUCAUGUGCGAAAGCGUGGGGAGCGAACGGG
rnacentral:rRNA from 1 species